UACGUAGGUGGCGAGCGUUGUCCGGAUUUAUUGGGCGUAAAGCGAGCGCAGGUGGUUUAUUAAGUCUGGUGUAAAAGGCAGUGGCUCAACCAUUGUAUGCAUUGGAAACUGGUAGACUUGAGUGCAGGAGAGGAGAGUGGAAUUCCAUGUGUAGCGGUGAAAUGCGUAGAUAUAUGGAGGAACACCGGUGGCGAAAGCGGCUCUCUGGACUGUAACUGACGCUGAGGCUCGAAAGCGUGGGGAGCAAACAGG
rnacentral:rRNA from 1 species